AAGGAUUGAGAUCCCGUGCAAUACCUAGGGUAUUGCACGGUGUGCAAUUGCUCAAAUCUCAACCAUUCAUUAAAUCUAACGCUUCAGAUAUCGACACAUCAUUUAAGCCACGUCAGCGAUCCGUGUGCUCCAUUUAACUUCACUCUCCUCUCAAUAUUUCAAAAUUUCAGUCUCUCCCUCUCUCUUUCAUUCCACCAAACCUAUCUGGGACAGCCAUGGCCAAACUUCCAUGGCUGCAACUUGCAAGCACCGAAUCCCAUUCCACCACCACCUACGGUGGUUUAUGCUGGUGUGGCUUCUUCUCUCUAGAAGUGCCGCUCUCUGUUUUCUUGUUCUCCUAAGCCCAGUCGUGGCCGAGCUCUCCUUGCAGCCACCGUCUCCGAGUUUCUGCCACCACAUCAAUUUAGCGAACAAUCUCCCUCGCUGGAUCUGUCAACUCGGUUGAAUAGCAUGAUUAUAGGUAUGAUAUUCUUUUGAUCAUUGAGGGCAAGAAAAGGCAGGUGUUGAAGGGAUUAGUGCUAAAGUUUAGAUUGUUUUGUGUUAGUGAAGACCACAUGUUCUCACACUUGUAUAAGUUCUACCAUUACGAAGAAGUAUUGUAGAAAUAUAUUUUUUUUGAAUACAUGUAGACCUUACAAAUUUUGUGAAAGCAAAUUUUAAGGUUU